rnacentral:rRNA from 1 species
UACGUAGGGUCCAAGCGUUAUCCGGAAUCACUGGGCGUAAAGCGUGCGUAGGUGGAUUGUUAAGUGCGGUGCGAAAUCCUAUGGCUCAACCAUAUGGACUGUAUCGCAUACUGGCUAUCUAGAGGACAUGAGAGGCAAGCGGAAUUCCUGGUGUAGCGGUGAAAUGCGCAGAUAUCAGGAGGAACACCGGUGGCGAAGGCGGCUUGCUGGGCCAGUUCUGACGCUGAGGAGCGAAAGCGUGGGGAGCGAACAGG